AUUGAACGCUGGCGGCAGGCUUAACACAUGCAAGUCGAGCGAGUGGCGGACGGGUGAGUAAUGUCUGGGAAACUGCCUGAUGGAGGUGGAUAACUCCUGGAAACGGUAGCUAAAAUCGCAUAACAUCAGUUGUGCCCAGCUGGGAUUAGCUAGUCGGUGGGGUAAUGGCGCACCUAGGCGACGAUCCCUAGCUGGUCUGAUAGGCUGAUCAGCCACACUGGACCUGAGAGACGGUCCAGACUCCUACGGGAGGCAGCAGUGGGGAAUAUUGCACAAUGGGCGCAAGCCUGAUGCAGCCAUGGCGCGUGUGUGAAGAAGGCCUUCGGGUUGUAAAGCACUUUCAGCGAGGAGGCGUUACUCGCAGAAGAAGCACCGGCUAACUCCGUGCCAGCCGCCGCGGUAAUUC
rnacentral:rRNA from 1 species